GCCUAGGUGGUUCAGUUGGUAGAGCAUGGGACUCUUAAUCCCAGGGUCAUGAGUUCAAGCCCAACAUUGGACA
rnacentral:tRNA from 1 species